GGGAAUGUGGCUUAGUGGUAGAGUAGCUUGCCUUGUAUGCAAGAAGCCCUGGGUUUGAUUCCUCAGUACCA
rfam:Dipodomys ordii contig_54664, whole genome shotgun sequence.